rnacentral:ncRNA from 1 species
CACCGCCCGUCGCUACUACCGAUGGGAUGGUCUAGUGAGGUCCUCGAUCGGCCCCGUCGGGGUCGGCCCUGGCCCUGCCGGAGCGUCAAGAAGACAGUCGAACUUGACUAUCUAGAGGAAGUAAAAGUCGUAACAAGGUUUCCAUAGGUGAACCUGUGGAAG